rnacentral:rRNA from 1 species
GACGAACGCUGGCGGCGUGCCUAAUACAUGCAAGUUGAGCGCUGAAGGUUGGUACUUGUACCAACUGGAUGAGCAGCGAACGGGUGAGUAACGCGUGGGGAAUCUGCCUUUGAGCGGGGGACAACAUUUGGAAACGAAUGCUAAUACCGCAUAAAAACUUUAAACACAAGUUUUAAGUUUGAAAGAUGCAAUUGCAUCACUCAAAGAUGAUCCCGCGUUUUAUUAGCUAGUUGGUGAGGUAAAGGCUCACCAAGGCGAUGAUACAUAGCCGACCUGAGAGGGUGAUAGGCCACAUUGGGACUGGGACACGGCCCAAACUCCUACGGGAGGCAGCAGUAGGGAAUCUUCGGCAAUGGACGAAAGUCUGACCGAGCAACGCCGCGUGAGUGAAGAAGGUUUUCGGAUCGUAAAACUCUGUUGGUAGAGAAGAACGUUGGUGAGAGUGGAAAGCUCAUCAAGUGACGGUAACUACCCAGAAAGGGACGGCUAACUACGUG